ACCACCUCCCAGAGGGCACAGACUCUGCUGUACCUCAAAGCACAAGCCCAGAGCGAGGGAGCAGAGCAGGCCAGGGACCUCAAGCCACUGUGGCUGCCCUUUGCGUGCUGCGAGGUGGGGGACCCUGGGCAGGAAGCUGGCUGGGCCCCAAGACCCCGGGAGCCAUGGGCGGGGAGCUGGUGCCGGGCCUGGGGGCCCUGCGGCGGCGAAAGCGCCUGCUGGAGCAGGAGAAGAGUCUGGCCGGCUGGACCCUGGCACUGGCAGGAACUGGCAUUGGACUCAUGGUCCUGCACGCGGAGAUGCUGUGGUUCGGGGGGUGCCCGUGGGCGCUCUAUCUGUUCCUGGUUAAAUGCAUGAUCAGCAUUUCCACGUUCCUGCUCCUGUCCCUUAUCGUGGCCUUUCACGCCAAAGAGGUCCAGCUGUUCAUGACGGACAACGGGCUCCGGGACUGGCGCGUGGCGCUGACCGGGCGGCAGGUGGCGCAGAUCGUGCUGGAGCUGGUGGUGUGCGGGUUGCACCCGCCGCCGGUGCCGGGCCCGCCGUGCGUGCUGAGCUCCGGGUUCCUGAAGACGGCGGCCACGCAGUCCUGGCCCAGCUUCCUGGACCAGGGGGAGGCGCUGCUGUCGCUGGCCAUGCUGCUGCGCCUGUACCUCGUGCCCCGCGCCCUGCUCCUGCGCAGCGGCGUCCUGCUCAACGCCUCCUACCGCAGCAUCGGCGCGCUCAACCAGGUCCGCUUCCGCCACUGGUUCGUGGCCAAGCUGUACAUGAACACGCACCCCGGCCGCCUGCUGCUCUGCCUCACGCUUGGCCUCUGGCUCACCACCGCCUGGGUGCUGUCGGUAGCCGAGAGGCAGGCUGUUAAUGCCACCGGGCACCUUUCGGACACACUGUGGCUGAUCCCCAUCACAUUCCUGACCAUUGGUUAUGGCGAUGUGGUGCCAGGUACCAUGUGGGGCAAGAUUGUCUGCCUCUGCACUGGUGUCAUGGGGGUCUGCUGCACAGCCCUGCUGGUGGCCGUGGUGGCCCGGAAACUGGAGUUUAAUAAGGCGGAAAAGCACGUGCACAACUUCAUGAUGGAUAUUCAGUAUGCCAAAGAGAUGAGGGAGUCGGCUGCCCGGGUGCUGCAGGAGUCCUGGCUAUUGUACAAACAUGCGCGCAGGAAGGAGUCUGGAGCUGCCCGCAAGCACCAGCGCAGGCUGCUGGCUGCCAUCAACAGGUUCCGCCAGGUGCGUCUGAAACACAGAAAGCUCCGGGAGCAAGUGAACUCUAUGGUGGACAUCUCCAAGAUGCACAUGAUCCUGUGUGACCUGCAGCUCCGUCUGAGCAGCUCCCACCAGGCCCUGGAGAAGCAGAUUGACGCGCUAGCAGGGAGGCUGGACACCCUGACCGAGCUGCUCAGCGCUGCCCUGGGGCCGCGGCAGCUUCCAGAACCAAGCCAGGAGGCCACGUAGCUGGACCCAUCCGGGAAGAACCAGGCUACCCUUCCCCAGGAUUGAGGUCAAGGACAUUCUCUCUGCUACUCCUGACCCAGCCGCACAUAUAAAGCCCCCCACCCCCCAAGUGUGAGGACUGCUGGGGGCCCCACCUUGGAUGGAGGAUGCUGAUGGAUGCUGGAGGGGAUGCUGGAUUAAGGAGGGAGGCCGUGGCCCACCCCCCACCAAGGCCCCAAAUGGGAAAACGGUCACCCCUGCCGCACAUACUCGACAAAAACAUCCUCACUCUGCUGCUGUAGAUGGCCAACAGCUUUCAGUUGGACGUGGAGGCGGAUUCUUUACCAUCUGAGCCACCGAGGAAGCCCGCCUGAACCAGCUUCUGCAACUAUAAAAGAGGCCUCCGAGAAGUAUCCUCCCAGCCCACCAGAACCCAGGUGACACCUCAUCCAUCAGGACAGUAACGGGAACCCCAAACCAUCCCCUCUACUCAUUUCUCCUAUCUGCUAGGACUUGGCCAGGAAAUGGGAAGGGGGCUGGGCUUAUGGAGGUCCUCCUGUAUGCCCGGCUCUGCGCUCCUGCGUUGUAAGUCACCACCACCUCUGCCCGCCCCACCCCCCUCCACUGUGCAAAUACAGAGACUGAAGUUUCGAGAGGAGGAAGGCCUCAAGGGUCUGGCUUCACACCCAGCGCAUCCUGAGACCGAGCCCUCCCUCUCAGCCUGGCUUGAGGUGAGUCAGAGACAGAACAGCCUUGGACCCUGAACCUGGGUCUUACUUCCCACAGCCGCUGUAUUCCACUUUGAGAGGCUGAUUCAUCCCCGCUUCCCUUGACUUGUGGGGAAGCCCGGGCUGCGAGUCAUCCUUCUCUGCUGAGCUAUCUUUGGAUUUCCCUGCAAGCCCGCAGCCAGCCCCACCCCUCAGCCCCCAGAGCUAAACUCGGGGCUGCACCACCCACUGCCCCUUCCUCUGGACACCAGCCCACCUGAGGGGCAGAGGAAACAGGAACACUUCCAACACCCUCCCCUGCAGUAAGCUCUCUUCAGUGCUGCCAGAUCCCCUACUGGGACCAUCCUUUCCUAGUUCUACUUGACUUCACUGGGGAAACUCCUUCCACCUCCUUUAGGCCCCAGCUUAAAUGUCGCCUCCUCCAGGAAGCCCUCUCUGAAGCUCCCACAGCCCCCCUGUGAACCUGUCUCUAUCACAGUAAUAUUUAUCGUGCAAAGUCCCACAUUAAGUCCUUCAUAUAAAUGAUCUCACAAAAUCUCUACAGAGGGAAGCAAGGUGGUAUUACUGGUCCCAUUAUACAGAUGAGGAAUCCGAGGCAUAGGGAUUACGAACCCUGCCCGAACCCGCAGCAAGGAGAUGGCGAAGCUGGGAUUUGACCCAGAUGGCCUGGUUCUGAAGGCCCAGCACUUAGCCAGUCGGCUCAUUCAUUUAGGGAUCAUUAUACCCUACUUUCAUUUUUGCUGUCUAUAUUGUGUCUUCAAUGUCGAGGGCCUGCAUAUGCUAGUCCUCAGUGAGUUAUCUCUGAGCGAACACACUGACUGCCCGGGUGGCCGGAAGCGCCGCGCCUUCUACCACUUGUUUCUCCCGGGACAAGGUAGGAACUGGUGAGAAGGGGCUUUUUGCCUAAGGCACUAAGAGCAUGGGAGAACACUGCUGUUCUGAAUUCUCGGAUCUCCCUCCGCCACCCUGCCACCACUAACUGUGGGGCACGGGUCCCGAUGCCCCCCCUUUCUAGCAGUCUUUGCUCACCCCCUCAAACCAUCACCACUUCCUCAACGCCCUGCACCGGGGUGGGGGCUGCAGGCAUGAGUCAGAGGGCUCUGCUCCCCAGGGACUUGACUCCACGGUGAUUUUGGCAACUUCCCCCUCCUACUUCAGUUUUCCCUCCACGCCUGGAAGAGGACAGGGUGGGGGAAAGUGGGUCCAGAAAGGGCUGGGGGAUUACUGGGGUUCGAGAGCCAGUCAGGGGUUGGGACCACCACCCAAGACACGACUAGGCCCUUCCCUUGUUCAAAACCCUGCCAUGGUUACCACCUGUAUUUCUGUCAAAGUGCAGCUCCUAGGCCUAGCCCUGCAGCAUGUGGGAUCCUAGUCCCCCCACCAGGGAUGGAACCCAUGCUCCCAGCAAUGGAAGCACAGAUUCUCAACCACUGGACCCCCAGGGAAGUCCCCAUUCAUUUUUUCUUUCAUUGAGAUUUAUUUUACAUAAAUGACAGAAAGUUUAAAUGCAGCCUCAAUAGAUUUUUUUACAAAUGCAUUCACCCAAGCAAAUACCACUCAGCUCAAGCUUGAAGUUUCCAUGACCCUAAAAACUCUCUCUCCCUUCCUAUCUUGAUUUUCUUUUGCCCAGAUGUGAACUUUGAAAAGAAACCUGGAACUCUGAUGUGUACCUGCUUCCAGGUAUCAGCCAGGGGUGCGUCCUUUUUCCCUACAGAAUGGUGUUAAUACACCCACAGGCCUCACCUGGGGGGCUCUUCAGGCUGUGGCCCCAUCCCUCCUCCAGCCUCCCUAUCCCCUCCCUGUCACAGAAGAUAAUGAUUCUGCACCCAAUUCCAGUGUUGUGGUUUGGGUACCCCCCCCCCUGCCCCCCACCAAGCAAUUCUCAAGACAGCACAAUUCAACUCAGUCCUGACACUGUCUACCCGGAACCAGCAUCAGAUUCCACAGGUUAAGAGUUGGGUCCUACAAGACUGCCCCCCACCCCUACCCCUUCAGAUGCCAAUUUCAAGUCCAGAUUGUCACCUAUGUGUCUGACCAACUGGUUACAGAUCCAACAGCCCCUUCCUUGGGUUCAAAGAGUGACUCACAGAACUCAGAGACACAUUUUAUUUACUAGAUUAUAGGUUUAUUAUAAAAAGAUGUAAUUGGGGAACAGCCAGAUGGAAGAGAGGCACAGGGCAAGGGAUGGGGAAGGGGCAGGGAGUUUCCAUGCCCUCUCUGGACCCCGCUCUCCCCAAAUCUCCAAGUGUUCACCAACCUGGAAGCUCUCCAAGCCCUGUCCUUUGGGGGUUAUUACGGAGGCUUCAUUACAUAGCCACGACUGAUUAAAUCAUUGGACUUUGGUGACUAAUCCAACUCUAACCCCUCUCCCCUUCCUGUAGAUCUGGAAGUUCUAAACCUCUAAUUACCCCAUUGGGGUCCCUGGCACUCAGCCCCUAUCCUUACCGUGGUGCUUUCCAAAGCCACCUCAUUACAAAAGACACCCUUAUUACUCUCCUCACUGGAAGGUCCAAAGGUUUUAGGAGCUCUGUGCCAGACUCCAGGAUAAAGACCAAAUCCAUAUUUAUUAUAAACCCAGUAUCACAGCUGCUCCAGCCACAGGGCUCCCCUUCCUUCCCAAGGAUUGUCGAAACUGGUCAUCUCUCCUGGACUCUCCUGUCCCCUUUUCCCCAUCCACGUAGAACAAAUAUCACCAGUAUUUUUCCAGUUCUUUAUGAGGGCCCAUGAAGGAAGCCAUAUCAUCUACAUCAAUGCCAGACUGCAGACUAAAGACUUGUUUAUAGCUUUUCUGCUGUGUGAGACAGCUGCUAACAUGUAAAAACCAGGAGAGUGUUUUUACAACUUGGAAGCAAUGUCUUUUCUUUCUUCUACCAGAAUGAACUGGCCCUUCUUCAAGUCCAGCCAAGGGUGUACCCUGGCUGCACCCUUUCUCACUUCCUCAAGGACCAGAGUCCUAAGUUUCUUCCCUCAUCCAUUUUCCCUACUAUUGAAAUAGAAGGGAAGGGGCAGGGAGCAACCUUUAAAAGAAUGACACUGCCAUAGGACAUGACAAACUAGAACCAACCAGAUCCAAGAUGGCUGAAGAUUUGACUUCCAGUAGACUGGAGUCUCAUUAUGCGCUCAUUGUAAUUAAUACAUUAGCUAAAUGACACACCCACCAGCUUCAUGACAGUUUCAGGGCCAAUGAUAAAAGGUCGAAAAGUGGGCUGUGGUGCAAUUCCUGGCAAUCCCUGCUCCUUCCUAGAAAUAGUUGGACUAAUCCUCCCACUCACUUAGCCUACGAAAUUACCCAGUCCAUAAAAAACUCACAACCCCAAAUUUCCAGGGCCUGUUGCCUUCUGAGACGACCCGCAGUCUGUCUGUGGGGUGUGUUUCUCUCUAGAUAAAUCCAUUUCAUACCUGACACUUUGUCUCUCACUGAAUUCUUCCUGCAGGAGGACAUCAAGAACCUGAGCUUCACUAAGUGCUGAGGCCAGGUGUGUGAUCUCAAUUAAAAGACCGUGCAUUCGAGUUCCAGUCUGGGUUUGGCCAGGUGUGAGUCCUGGCCCGUGGGUUCAAGUUCCAAUUUGAGUGGCAUGGUUUCACUGCCCCUCCCAGCAGCACACAAACAUGCUGUCUUUCCGCCCAUCUUAAAACCGGCCCCCCAGAACUUUAAGCACUUUACAUCCUCCACUAUCCUUAAAGCCCACCAUGUAUUCACCACACUGCAAAACAACUGGAAUUCAACUUGAGUCUAUUUUCUAUAUUGUAAAACAACUUGUAGGUAGAAAUCCUUUCAAAGUUCUAGUUCUUACAGAACAAGCUCCUGAUACAUUCAACAGCAGGGAAAACUCUCACAGACCAAAGAGCUAAAGAAGGCAGGCAACACAGAAGACCAGCUGUCAGAUUUCUAUCAAGUUUCAUUUCUGUCAAGUUCAAGAGCAGCCACAACUCAUCUGUAAUGACUGGAAUCAGAUCAGAGGCUGUUUCUGGAGUGGGGGAGCUGACAGGAAAACAGUCCAAUAGAAAUCUCUGGGGUUUCAGAAAUGUUCUCUAUCUUGACCUGGUUAGUGGUUACAUGGGCAUACAUAUAUUUGUAAAAAUCCACUGACCCUUUUCUGCACUUGGCCACAUUUAAGUUACACUGAGACAAUAUCAACUUUUUCUUAUAGAUUCUCUAUUACAGUAUUGAGAAGUUUCCACAACAGAGACUAAGACAGAAGGGAAGGGAACAGGACCUAAGCUUUGAAAGAAUGACGCAGAUCUUGAUGAUACGACUGAACUAGGCCCACCAGGUCCAAGAUGACAGAAGAUACAACUUCCCUAGGCUCUAAGCCUCAUUAUACACUCAUUGUAAUAUACCAGCAUAUACUAAGUGAUACACCACACCUGCCAUGACAGUUCUGAAGCUGACCAUAGAAGGCCAAAAAGUGGGUGGUGGCCCAAUUCCUGGAAAUUCUCGCUGCUACCCCAAAAUAGUUGGAAUAAUACUCCCAGUUGUUAGCUUAUGAAACUAUCCAGCCCAUAAAAACUAACCACCCCCACAACCACUGGCCACUCUUGCUUUCUGAGAUGGUCGCCUUUCUGCCUACCGAAUGUGUCUCCCUCUAAAUAAACUUACUUUCACUUUA